rnacentral:rRNA from 1 species
GACGUAGGAGGCGAGCGUUAUCCGGAUUCACUGGGCGUAAAGCGCGUGCAGGCGGUUCGGUAAGUUGGGUAUGAAAUCUCCUGGCUUAACUAGGAGAGGUUAUCCAAUACUACCGGACUAGAGAGUGGUAGAGGAAGAUGGAAUUCCAGGUGUAGUGGUGAAAUGCGUAGAUAUCUGGAGGAACACCAGUGGCGAAAGCGAUCUUCUGGACCAUUUCUGACGCUCAGACGCGAAAGCUAGGGUAGUAAACGGG